UGGGGAAUAUUGCACAAUGGGGGAAACCCUGAUGCAGCGACGCCGCGUGAACGAAGAAGGUAUUCGUAUCGUAAAGUUCAGUCCUAUGGGAAGAUAAUGACAGUACCAUAGAAGAAAGCUCCGGCUAAAUACGUGCCAGCAGCCGCGGUAAUACGUAUGGAGCGAGCGUUGUCCGGAAUUAUUGGGCGUAAAGGGUACGCAGGCGGUUUAAUAAGUCGAAUGUUAAAGAUCGGGGCUCAACCCCGCAAAGCAUUGGAAACUGAUAAACUUGAGUAGUGGAGAGGAAAGUGGAAUUCCUAGUGUAGUGGUGAAAUACGUAGAUAUUAGGAGGAAUACCAGUAGCGAAGGCGACUUUCUGGACACAAACUGACGCUGAGGUACGAAAGCGUGGGGAGCAAACAGG
rnacentral:rRNA from 1 species